rnacentral:rRNA from 1 species
GCCGCGGUAUCCUAACCGUGCGAAGGUAGCGUAAUCACUUGGUCUUUAAAUGGAGGACUUAGUAUGGAUGGCACCACGAGGGUUAGACUGUCUCCUUUUUUUGAUCAGUGAAACUAAUCUCCCCGUGAAAAAGCGGGAAAUAUUUUAUAAGACGAGAAGACCCUAUGAAGCUUUAAACAAACUAACAUCCGCUACCACUUUAUUACUUUCAGAAUUACAUCAAGAAAUAUAGCAACUUGGAUUACAAGUUUUCGAUUGGGGUGAUCACGGAGUAAAAAACAACCUCCACGCCGAAAGGACUAAACUCCUCAACAAAAAGCCACAGCUUUAUGCACUAAUAUAUUAACGCCUUUGACCCAUUAUUUGAUCAACGAACCAAGUUACUCUAGGGAUAACAGCGCAAUCUACUUCGAGAGCCCCUAUCGACAAGUAGGUUUACGACCUCGAUGUUGGAUCAGGGUGUCCCAGUGGUGCAGCCGCUACUAACGGUUCGUUUGUUCAACGAUUAAAACCCUACGUGAUCUGAGUUCAGACCGGAGUAAUCCAGGUCCUAUA